UACGGGAGGCAGCAGUGGGGAAUCUUAGACAAUGGGCGCAAGCCUGAUCUAGCCAUGCCGCGUGAGUGAUGAAGGCCCUAGGGUCGCAAAGCUCUUUCAACUGUGAAGAUAAUGACGGUAGCAGUAGAAGAAACCCCGGCUAACUCCGUGCCAGCAGCCGCGGUAAU
rnacentral:rRNA from 1 species